AAACUCCAUGUAUUGGUUACCCAUCUGCAUCGAAAACUCUCCGAACACUAGGUGCAGUAAGGCUUUCAUGGAGUGGUUUGCUAUUUAGCGUACGUGUACCAUAGGCAGCCCCAAAAACACGUGUGAGGAGAAAGUCCCAGUCACUUUGGGCAAAGUAGACAGCCGCGCUUGCGUGGUGGGACUUAAUUAAUGCCUGCUAAC
rnacentral:misc_RNA from 1 species